AUGCAAGUCGAACGAGAAAGUGGAGCAAUCCAUGAGUAAAGUGGCGCACGGGUGAGUAACACGUGACUAACCUACCCUUGAGUGGGGGAUAACCUAGAGAAAUCUGGGCUAAUACCGCAUAAUACCUACGGGUCAAAGGAGCAAUUCGCUUAAGGAGGGGGUCGCGGUCGAUUAGUUAGUUGGCGGGGUAAUGGCCCACCAAGACGAUGAUCGAUAUCCGGCCUGAGAGGGCGCACGGACACACUGGAACUGAAACACGGUCCAGACUCCUACGGGAGGCAGCAGUGGGGAAUUUUGCGCAAUGGGGGAAACCCUGACGCAGCAACGCCGCGUGGAGGAUGAAGUACUUCGGUACGUAAACUCCUUUCGAUCGGGACGAUUAUGACGGUACCGAGAGAAGAAGCCCCGGCUAACUUCGUGCCAGCAGCCGCGGUAAUACGAGGGGGGCGAGCGUUGUUCGGAAUUAUUGGGCGUAAAGGGUGCGCAGGCGGUUUGGUAAGUCUGAUGUGAAAUCUAUGGGCUC
rnacentral:rRNA from 1 species